rnacentral:rRNA from 1 species
CCUACGGGAGGCAGCAGUGAGGAAUAUUGGUCAAUGGGCUUACGCCUGAACCAGCCAAGUCGCGUGAGGGAAGACUGCCCUAUGGGUUGUAAACCUCUUUUGUCAGGGAGCAAUUGGCGCUACGUGUAGCGUUAUCGAGAGUACCUGAAGAAAAAGCAUCGGCUAACUCCGUGCCAGCAGCCGCGGUAAUACGGAGGAUGCGAGCGUUAUCCGGAUUUAUUGGGUUUAAAGGGUGCGUAGGCGGAAUGCCAAGUCAGCGGUAAAAUCGCGGGGCUCAACCUCGCUCCGCCGUUGAUACUGGUGUUCUUGAGUGGGCGUGAAGCAUGCGGAAUGAGUGGUGUAGCGGUGAAAUGCAUAGAUAUCACGCAGAACUCCGAUUGCGAAGGCAGCAUACCGGCGCCCAACUGACGCUGAAGCACGAAAGCGUGGGUAGCGAACAGGAUUAGAUACCCGGGUAGUC